UACGUAGGGGGCAAGCGUUGUCCGGAUUUACUGGGCGUAAAGGAGCGAUGUAGGCGGCCAAGCAGGUCUGUUGUGAAAACUGGAAGGCUCAACCCUCCAGACGUACGACAGAAACCGUUUGGCUAGAGUCCGGAAGAGGAGAGUGGAAUUCCUGGUGUAGACGGUGAAAUGACGUAGAUAUCAAGAGGAACACCAGUGGCGAAGGCGAGUCCCUGGACGAUACCUGACACUGAGGCACGAAAGCUAGGGGGGAGCAAACAGG
rnacentral:rRNA from 1 species